rnacentral:rRNA from 1 species
CCCCUAGAUGUUCUGGGCCGCACGCGCGCUACACUGAACAGUUCAACAAGUCUUAACCUUGGCCGAUAGGUCUGGGUAAUCUUUGAACGCUGUUCGUGAUUGGGAUAGACCUUUGCAAUUAUGGGUCUUCAACGAGGAAUUCCUAGUAAACGCAAGUCAUCAGCUUGCAUUGAUUACGUCCCUGCCCUUUGUACACACCGCCCGUCGCACCUACCGAUUGAAUGGUCCGGUGAAAUCUCGGGACGGCGGCUUGGUCGCUUGCGUCCGACUGCUGAAACUUGAUUAACCCAUAUCAUUUAGAGGAAGGUGAANUCGUANCA